rnacentral:lncRNA from 1 species
CAUUAAAUAAAUUAUUUAUCAUGUUGGUCAACGUUUUGAGGAAUAUAGCUUAGAUAAACACAUUUUUAAGGUCAGCCACUCUAAGGGCUGGGUUUUAUAAAAACAGCCUCUCAGGAGCUUUAAUAAAUCUAACAAGAAAAAAAAAAUCAAGCACUUGUUUUCAUUACUGAAUCAUUUGCUAUUGCUGAAUAAUGGUCAUUCAAGAGGUAAGCUUAACCGGGAGGCCCUGAUAGCCACGCUGGGAAACCUGCAUAUGAUGAAAAAUCUAUGCUGUGGCAGGCACUGUCGGCUACACUCAGGUUUCUGUUAAAGCAGUCUGGUCCUUUGGUUGCAUUUUAAAUCAGAUAAAUGGACAGAGCUGGCUGAUUUGGGUCAUAAAAUUGUCAAAUGAAGAUAAAUUUAUUCCUACUCAAUGGGAAACUUCAGAGCGGAAUUAGAAUAUAUGUAAGUAAAAAAUAAUGUGUUUCUAUUCUCUCAAAAUAAACCGUGACCAGAUUCGUCAAGUGCAUUUAAUUCACCUCAUGGGUCCUCCAUCUUUUCAAAUUGCAGCCAAAGGCAUCUUUGGCAUCCAUUUCUAUUGCUAAAUGGCAGUCCUCAGCCAAAGAAGGCAUGGGAUGGAGAGCAAAGGCUGUUUGGAUUAGAAGAAAUGGAAAUGGGAGAAGUAAGAAGCCGGAGAGCUCUAAUGAGGAAGAGGGUGCAGGUGAGGGAGCCGCCGAGGGGCAGCUGUAAGGAAGGGAGAGCCAUGGAAGGAAGAAGGAGGAGCAGAAAUAACAAACGGAGAAAGUCCACCUUUGCAGGGACUGAGCAGGCACCAGCUCUGAGGCACUGCUCGCUGUGGCUCUGGUUUCAUUUUUGUGCAGUUCAUAAUUUGUCUAAACUUGAAGGGCUCUCAUGCCCACUGAAUGUGGCGCUGAGCUCCCUCUUAGUCUUGAAAGAAGAGCUAGGCUGGGAACGAGCCCGGAGCUUCUGAGUUGUCUCUUCUAAGGAUGGAACCUGCAGCAGAAUUUCAUGGCUUCAAAAAAGAAGAUACUUUCUACAUGAAAAUUGAUGACCCAUUGGAGUUGUCUUUCUCUUACUGGGCUUGGAUCCUUGAGACUGGUAUGCAAAUGGGCCUGAACUAGCUUAUUGGAGGAUGAGAGGCCACAUGGAGAACCAAAGUGACACAGCAGACAGCCUGUCAACUGCCAGACAUGUAAGAGAGACCAUUCUAGAUCAUCCAGCCACCAGCUGACCUAUCAGCUAACUACAGAUGCAUGCGGGUGACCAGCAGCAGAGAUCAACAGAGCCAGCUCAGAGCAGAAGACCACCCAGUCAAUCCAUAGAAUUGUGAGCUAAAUAACAGGUUGUUGUUUUAGACCACUAAGUUUUAGGGCGGUUUGUUAUACAGGAAAAGCUAAUUGAUAUAGGUGGGAUCCAUACUAGUCUUGUUGGGG